UACGGAGGGUGCGAGCGUUGUCCGGAAUCACUGGGCGUAAAGGGCGCGUAGGCGGCCGAUCAAGUCGGGGGUGAAAGCCUGUGGCUCAACCACAGAAUUGCCUUCGAUACUGUUUGGCUUGAGACCGGAAGAGGUAAGUGGAACUGCGAGUGUAGAGGUGAAAUUCGUAGAUAUUCGCAAGAACACCAGUGGCGAAGGCGGCUUACUGGUCCGGUUCUGACGCUGAGGCGCGAAAGCGUGGGGAGCAAACAGG
rnacentral:rRNA from 1 species